rnacentral:rRNA from 1 species
GAUGAACGCUGGCGGCGUGCCUAAUACAUGCAAGUCGAGCGAACAGACGAGGAGCUUGCUCCUCUGACGUUAGCGGCGGACGGGUGAGUAACACGUGGAUAACCUACCUAUAAGACUGGGAUAACUUCGGGAAACCGGAGCUAAUACCGGAUAAUAUAUUGAACCGCAUGGUUCAAUAGUGAAAGACGGUUUUGCUGUCACUUAUAGAUGGAUCCGCGCCGCAUUAGCUAGUUGGUAAGGUAACGGCUUACCAAGGCAACGAUGCGUAGCCGACCUGAGAGGGUGAUCGGCCACACUGGAACUGAGACACGGUCCAGACUCCUACGGGAGGCAGCAGUAGGGAAUCUUCCGCAAUGGGCGAAAGCCUGACGGAGCAACGCCGCGUGAGUGAUGAAGGUCUUCGGAUCGUAAAACUCGGUUAUUAGGGAAGAACAAAUGUGUAAGUAACUAUGCACGUCUUGACGGUACCUAAUCAGAAAGCCAUGGCUAACUACGUG